CGGCACAAUCAUGGAUGGUAUUAAUUAAGUGGAGACAAGAAAGUGGCAACUAAAACACACAACAAUCAGGAGGAUCGGGUCCUGUCUUGUCCUCGAAAGCACAGCACACACAAGAGAAAAGAGCAGCCUGGACCGGAUCGGACCACAUACAAUGGAGGAAAUGGACAAGACAUGCAUCAGAUCAUACACAACCGCACCGCACUCAUGGCUUCACUCCUUGCUGAAGCACCCGUUCGCCAUGACCUUCCCGAGGACGCACGGAGCGAACAUCAUCAUGUUGAGAGGGCAGGUCUUCCCGAUCUGCACCAGGCAAGCGAUGCAUGCUGCAGGGCACAUCUUGGACCUGAUGAUGUCCUCCAUAAGAGCGAGAGAGGCUCAGCUCGUCGGAUGGUAGGAUGUCGUGGUCGUUGCCGGCCUCGGCUAGCAUCACCAGCUGCCUGCUGAACAGAAGAGCUAGGAGGAGCAUCACCACCACCUUCCGUUCGGCCAUCUUCUUACAGCUAGAGCACGAGUUUGUGUGGCCUGGCUGAGUGGGUGUUUACUUGUGUGCUCUGCUAGCUGUG
rnacentral:rRNA from 1 species